GGGUCGUUAGCUCAGUCGGUAGAGCAGUUGACUUUUAAUCAAUUGGUCGCUGAUUCGAAUCCAGCACGACCCACCA
rnacentral:tRNA from 1 species